AGAAAGGUUAAGGUACUUAGCCAAGGAUACACAGAUGGCAAAAUCCAGACUCAGAUCUAAAUCGGACUGUAUCCAAGCCUGACUUCUUUACUGUUUCCUAUCUGUAGGCUCCUGGCAGCUCAUCCAGGCAGAUCGGAUAAGUGAAUCAAAUACAAGGUAUAGUCAGGUUGAUGCCACCAUGAGAUCAUACGAGAAGGUUAGAGACGGAGACAGGAAAUUUUACACGGAGGAGGUCGCAUUUGCAAUGAAUAAUAAAGGUGGAUGGAAUUCUUAAAAAUAAAAUAACCGGAGGAUUAGCCUUCUAAUGCCUAACAGCAAAAUGAUCCCAUCAAAGGACCUGUGACCUAAAAGGUCAAUACACACUGCCAGUUCGCGCUUCAGAAAGAUUGGGCCACUGGACGGGACAGGGUGUGCAAACGUCCGCUUCCUCCACACCUGCCCAAUUCCAGGGAAAAGGAGCAUUCCUUCCCACCCCACCCCCAGUGCUGCUGUGCACCUUGAUUUUGAACCAAGUUGGGUGUCGUUUCAUCUUUUUAUUUGCCAUUCUCCUGCAUGUUUCUGCAAAGGACAUUCCUGCUUGCAUUUUCUCCAUUAAGCCCUUUGCUACCCCGCCCCCCAUCUUACUCUCCUGUGCCAGUACUAUAUACAAUGAAAGAAAUUGGCGUUUCUCUCUCUAGGUGUGUUACAAUAGUUUCUCAGCUUGUCAUGAGACCCUGACUUUUUUUUUUUUUUUAAUGAUGCGUUGUUGUGCUUAAGUUUUAUGGUUGAUACAGUGGAAUGUAUCCAUUUUCUGCCUUAUGUGUUCUGUGUUAAAAAAAAAAUCAGUGGUGAGAAGAGCCUCCCCACACCACCGAUGUAUACAGACACAGAUAAAUGCACGUGGACGUGCAGACACAGGCGUGCAUAUGUACACAGACACCUUCACACGUUCUCCCCAAGCAAGGUUUCUGCAUUUCCACCUGAGCUUCAGCGGUCCGGGCUCUCCAUUGCACCCUGCCUGCAAGGCAGUCCCGCCCUCCGGGUGCGGAUCCCAGUCCCAUUUCCCGGCUCUGCCCGCCUGCCCGCUGGGUGGGCCGCGGGACAUCCCUCCCGCAGGACCUGCGGGCUCAUCACUUCCCCUGCAGCCCCCCGGGGAGGUGGGGGUGGGGGCAAGGUCGUCCAGGCGGGGCGGAAGUCCUGCCCCGCGGGCACCUGGAUUCUGCCCUCCCGGCAGGCUCCCAUCGCGGGCCACGGGGCCCCCUCCGAGCCUGGGAGCAGGCCUGUCCUGGGCGUUCUUGGAAAUGCCAGCAGCACGUGGCCGCAGGAGAGCUUGGGGACCGUCCGUGACAUCAAGGACCUCCACAGUGUGCUGCAGCCGUCACCGUGAGCGGAUUCCAGGACUUCGGCAGGACCCAAACCCAAAUUCUACCAUCAGGCGGAAAGUUGAGUUUCUCAAAAUCAAGCUUCAUAAAAGUGCACGGACAGAACUUCCAACAAAUACUGGAGGAACAUUGACUGCAUUCCGGGCCUCGUUCUAGGCACAUCUCCAGAGCCGUUACAAGGCAAAAGGCAAGCAGCGACGGCAUAAACUUUGUUAAUAAAAUCAAAAGAUUUUUAUAGCAGAAUACAAAACAUAGCUGUGGCUAUAAGCCCAACGAGAAAGCUGUGAAUCUGGGGCGUCCAGGUGGCUCAGUGGGUUAAGCAUCUGCCUUCAGCUUAGAUCGUGAUCUCAGGGUCCUGGGAUCGAGCCC